AGAUUGAACGCUGGCGGCAGGCCUAACACAUGCAAGUCGAGCGGCAGCACGGGUACUUGUACCUGGUGGCGAGCGGCGGACGGGUGAGUAAUGCCUAGGAAUCUGCCUGGUAGUGGGGGGAUAACGCUCGGAAACGGACGCUAAUACCGCAUACGUCCUACGGGAGAAAGCAGGGGACCUUCGGGCCUUGCGCUAUCAGAUGAGCCUAGGUCGGAUUAGCUAGUUGGUGGGGUAAUGGCUCACCAAGGCGACGAUCCGUAACUGGUCUGAGAGGAUGAUCAGUCACACUGGAACUGAGACACGGUCCAGACUCCUACGGGAGGCAGCAGUGGGGAAUAUUGGACAAUGGGCGAAAGCCUGAUCCAGCCAUGCCGCGUGUGUGAAGAAGGUCUUCGGAUUGUAAAGCACUUUAAGUUGGAGAAGGCAGUUACCUAAUACGUAUCUGUUUUGACGUUACCGAUAGAAUAAGCACCGGCUAACUCUGUGCCAGCA
rnacentral:rRNA from 1 species